rnacentral:miRNA from 1 species
AUCAGACAUUCGUUCUCUCGCU